rnacentral:lncRNA from 1 species
CAUGAAAGUACCUUUUGCAUUUAAAAUUUUUUCUACUUUUGCCUUACAAAGUUCUAAAGAAUUCACAUGGCUGAUCUGAUUCUGUUUAAUAUUCCUGGGAAGAUUAGAGGUGGAAUUCUGAGUGUGAUUACUGGUUUUACAAGCAGAGCAGACAUUGAAAGGCUGGGUUUUGCCCAGGGCUGCCUCAGAGCGCUGUCACCUGCCAUGUUUGGAGGAGCCCCAAGCUGA